rnacentral:rRNA from 1 species
UACGUAGGGUGCAAGCGUUAUCCGGAAUUAUUGGGCGUAAAGAGCUCGUAGGCGGUUUGUCGCGUCUGCUGUGAAAACUGGAGGCUCAACCUCCAGCCUGCAGUGGGUACGGGCAGACUAGAGUGCGGUAGGGAGAUUGGAAUUCCUGGUGUAGCGGUGGAAUGCGCAGAUAUCAGGAGGAACACCGAUGGCGAAGGCAGGUCUCUGGGCAUUAACUGACGCUGAGGAGCGAAAGCAUGGGGAGCGAACAGG